GUGGAGAGUUUAUGUUUUUUGGGGAGAUGAGUUGCUUCUCUCCAUUAGUGUGUAUUGCUUGGUGUAGGGGACAAUACUUUGUUGAUGUUCACACUGUUUUGGAUAUGUAGAUCCCUAUCUCGUACAUGGUGUAGAUAGAAGUCAAGGUAUUUUAAAGUAUUGUUCCAGUACUAGCUCAUUUUUUUCCUAGUUUUUAUUAACUAGCUCCCAUGGGUAAUGAAGGUCAG
rnacentral:misc_RNA from 1 species